UGAGCUUAUAGAACUAAGCUAUAUAAUUUUAAUUUGCAUGGCAAAAUUAGUUUUGCAGUAAAACAUGUAUUUUCCAUACAGCAAUCUCUUUUUGUCUAGACGGUUGAAAGUAAUUAAGAUGAAAUGGGAGUAAUAACGUUUCUAGUUUGUCUCAAUAAUGAAAUUGUAUGUCCCAAUUUUUGUCUUGUAUGUCUAAAUAAUGAAAUUGUAUGUCAUUACACACAACCUAAUACAGCUUUAACAUUGCAAGUGAGUAUAUAAGAAAACAUAUGUCUUUUUUUUGAUAACCAUCAACUUAUUUUGUUCUUCUCUCG
rnacentral:lncRNA from 1 species